GAUGAACGCUGGCGGCGUGCCUAAUACAUGCAAGUCGAGCGAACAGACGAGGAGCUUGCUCCUCUGACGUUAGCGGCGGACGGGUGAGUAACACGUGGAUAACAUACCUAUAAGACUGGGAUAACUUCGGGAAACCGGAGCUAAUACCGGAUAAUAUAUUGAACCGCAUGGAUCAAUAGUGAUAGACGGCUUUGCUGUCACUUAUAGAUGGAUCCGCGCCGCAUUAGCUAGUUGGUAAGGUAAAGGCUUACCAAGGCGACGAUGCGUAGCCGACCUGAGAGGCUGAUCGGCCACACUGGAACUGAGACACGGCCCAGACUCCUACGGGAGGCAGCAGUAGGGAAUCUUCCACAAUGGACGAAAGCCUGAUGGAGCAACGCCGCGUGAGUGAUGAAGGUCUUCGGAUCGUAAAGCUCUGUUAUUAGGGAAGAACAAUAGUGGAAGUAACUAGGCACGUCUUGACGGUAACUAAUCAGAAAGCCACGGCUAACUACGUG
rnacentral:rRNA from 1 species